GAUGAACGCUGGCGGCGUGCCUAAUACAUGCAAGUCGAGCGAACGGACGAGAAGCUUGCUUCUCUGAUGUUAGCGGCGGACGGGUGAGUAACACGUGGAUAACCUACCUAUAAGACUGGGAUAACUUCGGGAAACCGGAGCUAAUACCGGAUAAUAUUUUGAACCGCAUGGUUCAAAAGUGAAAGACGGUCUUGCUGUCACUUAUAGAUGGAUCCGCGCUGCAUUAGCUAGUUGGUAAGGUAACGGCUUACCAAGGCAACGAUGCAUAGCCGACCUGAGAGGGUGAUCGGCCACACUGGAACUGAGACACGGUCCAGACUCCUACGGGAGGCAGCAGUAGGGAAUCUUCCGCAAUGGGCGAAAGCCUGACGGAGCAACGCCGCGUGAGUGAUGAAGGUCUUCGGAUCGUAAAACUCUUUUAUUAGGGAAGAGCAUAUGUGUAAGUAACUGUGCACAUCUUGACGGUACCUAAUCAGAAAGCCACGGCUAACUACGUG
rnacentral:rRNA from 1 species